UAGCAGUUCAGAAAAUGGACUUCCCGUUUUCGAUUUUGUUUUUUAAUUGAGUAAAAACAUUAAUUUCAUGAACGGAGUUAAAAUUAAAUUAUUACAAAUACGAAUAUAUAUAUAUAUGCGGAUCUAAUGAGUUAAAAAAAUCCAGCUCACGUGACACCAUUGUCAUUGGCGGAUUAUCAUCUAGACAGCUGGGUUAUGAUUUGCCACAGGUAAGCACAGUUUACAGAGUCUGCACCAUUUAAAAUGGCCUGUGUACUUCGAUAUGUGGAUAAUUAAGACUAUUUAAUGGGUCAUAUAUCACUGUGAAGAAUGAUCGAUCGAAGCAUGCUGCAUUCUGCAAUUUAUAAUACCAAUAUGAGAGGGAAGACACCUCCUAAACGGUAGGGAGGACAAAGAGAUUUUUCUCCCUGCUACUUCCAUAUAAAAGAUUCAGGAAGGAUGGAAUAUUUCAUGACUAGACGGUGG